rnacentral:rRNA from 1 species
UACAGAGGAUGCAAGCGUUAUCCGGAAUUAUUGGGCGUAAAGCGCGCGCAGGUGGUUCUUUAAGUCUGAUGUGAAAGCCCACGGCUCAACCGUGGAGGGUCAUUGGAAACUGGGGAACUUGAGUGCAGAAGAGGAUAGUGGAAUUCCAAGUGUAGCGGUGAAAUGCGUAGAGAUUUGGAGGAACACCAGUGGCGAAGGCGACUAUCUGGUCUGUAACUGACACUGAGGCGCGAAAGCGUGGGGAGCAAACAGG